CAGGCCUAACACAUGCAAGUCAAAAGGCAUCAGGGAGAAAGCUUACUUUCUUUGCUGGCGACCGGCGCACGGGUGAGUAACGCGUAUCCAACCUUCCCCCCAGUAGGGCAUAGCCCGGCGAAAGUCGGAUUAAUACCCUAUGUUGUGUCAUGAGGACAUCUGAAUAACACCAAAGAUUUAUCGCUGGGGGAUGGGGAUGCGUCCGAUUAGGUUGUUGGCGGGGUAACGGCCCACCAAGCCCGCGAUCGGUAGGGGUUCUGAGAGGAAGGUCCCCCACAAUGGAACUGAGACACGGUCCAUACUCCUACGGGAGGCAGCAGUGAGGAAUAUUGGUCAAUGGGCGGAAGCCUGAACCAGCCAUGCCGCGUGCGGGAAGACGGCCCUAUGGGUUGUAAACCGCUUUUGAGAGGGAGCAAUAAGGUGGUCGAGCACCAUCGAUGAGAGUACCUUUCGAAUAAGCAUCGGCUAACUCCGUGCCAGCAGCCGCGGUAAUACGGAGGAUGCGAGCGUUAUCCGGAUUUAUUGGGUUUAAAGGGUGCGUAGGCUGUGCUGUAAGUCAGGGGUGAAAUGCCGGUGCUCAACGCCGGAGCUGCCCUUGAUACUGCAGUGCUGGAGUACGGAUGCCBUUGGAGGAAUGAGUGGUGUAGCGGUGAAAUGCAUAGAUAUCACUCAGAACACCGAUUGCGAAGGCAUCUGACGAAUCCGUCACUGACGCUGAGGCACGAAAGCGUGGGGAUAGAACAGGAUUAGAUACCCUGGUAUUCCACGCCGUAAACGAUGAUGACUAACCGCCUGCGAUACAGUGUAGGUGGCCAAGCGAAAGCGAUAAGUCAUCCACCUGGGGAGUACGACCGCAAGGUUGAAACUCAAAGGAAUUGACGGGGGCCCGCACAAGCGGAGGAACAUGUGGUUUAAUUCGAUGAUACGCGAGGAACCUUACCCGGGCUCGAACGGUACAGGACGGACACAGAGAUGUGAACUCCCUUCGGGGCCUGUAUCGAGGUGCUGCAUGGUUGUCGUCAGCUCGUGCCGUGAGGUGUCGGCUUAAGUGCCAUAACGAGCGCAACCCCUGCCUACAGUUGCCAUCAGGUCAAGCUGGGCACUCUGUGGGGACUGCCACCGCAAGGUGUGAGGAAGGUGGGGAUGACGUCAAAUCAGCACGGCCCUUACGUCCGGGGCUACACACGUGUUACAAUGGGUGGUACAGAGAGUCAGGUGCUGGCAACAUCACCUUAAUCUACAAAGCCAUCCUCAGUUCGGAUUGGGGUCUGCAACCCGACCCCAUGAAGCUGGAUUCGCUAGUAAUCGCGCAUCAGCCAUGGCGCGGUGAAUACGUUCCCGG
rnacentral:rRNA from 1 species